AGAGCGAACGCUGGCGGCAGGCCUAACACAUGCAAGUCGAGCGCCCGUAGCAAUACGGGAGCGGCAGACGGGAGAGUAACACGUGGGAACGUACCCUUCAGUUCGGAAUAACCCAGGGAAACUUGGACUAAUACCGAAUACGUCCGUAAGGAGAAAGAUUUAUCGCUGAAGGAUCGGCCCGCGUCUGAUUAGCUUGUUGGUGAGGUAACGGCUCACCAAGGCGACGAUCAGUAGCUGGUCUGAGAGGAUGAUCAGCCUCACUGGGACUGAGACACGGCCCAGACUCCUACGGGAGGCAGCAGUGGGAAUAUUGGACAAUGGGCGCAAGCCUGAUCCAGCCAUGCCGCGUGGAUGAUGAAGGCCCUAGGGUUGUAAAGUCCUUUCGACGGGGAAGAUAAUGACGGUACCCGUAGAAGAAGCCCGGCUAACUUCGCGCCAGCAGCCGC
rnacentral:rRNA from 1 species